CGCUGGUCCUCAACUGGCAACCCGGAAAAGAGGCCUGAGGGAGUUGGACGGAUAAUGCUCUCCAAGUUCUUCCCAGCCCUUCCAUUUGGCUCUACCUGCUCCGUGGAUCAAAGGGCUCUGUUCUGGGAGAAAUCACUGGAUCCAAAAUGAAGACGUUUAAUUGAAAAGCUAAGUGCAAAGGUCUAAUGGAGUGAGCUUCCCAGAAAUGGAUUAAGUUCAAGAUGAAGUUGGGUGACUCUGAUGAAGAAAUCGAAGACAUUUUUCCAUGUCAGAAAAAUAUCCUCUGGGUGUUUUAUUAAAAAGUUUCCACCUUCCCUUUUGAGCUAUAAUUCAGUAGAGUGCAUUAAUUUUAAGUGGAUGGCUCAAGGAAUAUUUACUCAUGUAACCAUGAUUCAGAACAAGAUUGAUAUGAAUAUUUCCUGUAUCCAUGUAGGUUCCUUUCCAGUAUAAUAUUCCAGAGAUAGUUGCUAUUCUAUUUCUAUUGCUAUGAAUUAAUUUUGGCUGCUCUUGACCUUUAUAUAAAUAGUAUCAUACCAUA